rnacentral:rRNA from 1 species
GCACAACGCGAAGAACCUUACCACCUUUUGACAUGCCCGGACCACCAGAGAGAUCUGGCUUUCCCUUCGGGGACUGGGACACAGGUGCUGCAUGGCUGUCGUCAGCUCGUGUCGUGAGAUGUUGGGUUAAGUCCCGCAACGAGCGCAACCCACGCCAUUAGUUGCCAUCAUUUAGUUGGGCACUCUAAUGGGACCGCCGGUGGUAAGCCGGAGGAAGGUGUGGAUGACGUCAAGUCCUCAUGGCCCUUACAGGGUGGGCUACACACGUGCUACAAUGGCGACUACAGAGGGUUGCAAGCCUGCGAAGGUGAGCCAAUCCCUAAAAAGUCGUCUCAGUUCGGAUUGCACUCUGCAACUCGAGUGCAUGAAGUCGGAAUCGCUAGUAAUCGCGGAUCAGCAUGCCGC